UGAUGCUACCAAGUUUGUCCGUCUCAGGGUGUUCUUCUCUAUGGGCCUCCUGGGACUGGCAAGACCUUGUUAGCCAGGGCAAUUGCUAGCAACAUUGAUGCCAAUUUCUUAAAGGUAGUAUCAAGUGCCAUUAUUGAUAAAUACAUAGGUGAGAGUGCGAGAUUAAUCCGGGAAAUGUUUAAUUAUGCUCGUGAUCACCAACCUUGCAUCAUUUUCAUGGAUGAGAUUGAUGCAAUUGGUGGACGUCGAUUUAGCGAGGGAACAAGUGCAGAUCGUGAAAUUCAGAGAACGCUCAUGGAAUUGCUUAAUCAGUUGGAUGGAUUUGACCAUAUUGGAAAGGU